rnacentral:lncRNA from 1 species
UCACGUGCCAGCCAGGCCUGAACCAAGUGCCACUCACUCUUGAACCGCAGGUCAGCCUCACUUGAAGCACGUGUCAGCCACACUGGCACAACUUGCCUGCCAUGCCUGAACCACGUGCCACCCAUGCCAAAAACACAUGUGAGCCACACCUGACCAACACGACAGACAUGCAUGAGCCACACCUGAACCAUGUGUGACCCAUGCGUGAACAAAGCCUGUAUCAUGUGUCAGCCACAUGGGAGACAGUUCUGUGGCACGCCUGCAUCACGUGUGAGCCAUGGCUGAGUUAUGCUUGAACCAUGUGUGAGAGUGUCCUCAACCAUGUGUCCCCCAGAUGAGUCGUGUGAGAUCCACGCCUGAAUUACACGCAAACCAUGUGUGAGCCAUGCAGCAACCACAUGGGAGACACCCUUGAACCUCAUCUGAAGAACCUGUGAAACACACAUGUUCCAUGCUUGAAGCACGCAUGAACCACAGGGGAGCCACCCAUGAGAUAUAGCUUAGCCAUGCCUGAGCCACGUGGCAGCCAUGACUGAGUAUGUGGGAGCCACGUUUCAGCAACCUGUAGUCACGUGGGAGCCACCAUGUAUGGCAUGUGACUCCUGCGUGAAAACCUUUCCGUCCCACAUGGCCACUGGGCGAUGAAUGCCUGAGUCACAUAGCCACACCAGAGUCCUGUUUCACACAUGCCGGAGUCACAUUUCAGCCACUCUUGAACCACCUGCCACCCAUGCGUGCACCAUGCACCAGCCACAUCUGAACCACACGAAGGCCAUGCAUGUACCAUGUGUGAACCACACCUGUGUGACGUGUCAGGCAUGCCUUUGUCACGUUUCCAGCUCACCUGAGUCAUGUGUCAGCCACGCUUGAACAACGUCUGAACCACGCCUGUGUCAAGGCUCAGCCGUGCCAAGUCACUUGCCAGCCAGGCCUGAACCAAGUGCCAGUCACACUUGAACCACAGGUCAGCCUCACUUGAAGCACGUGUCAGCCACACUGGCACAACUUGCGUGCCAUGCCUGAACCUCAUGCCUCCCAUGCCACAAACACAUGUGAGCCACACCAGACCAACACCACAGACAUGCAUGAGCCACACCUGAACCAUGCGUGAGCCAUGUGUGACCAAAGCCUGUAUCAUGUCUCAGCUACAUGGGAGCCAGUUCUGUGGCAUGUCCGCAUCAUGGGUGAGCCAUGGCUGAGCUAUGCCUGAACCACGUGUGAGUGUCCUCAACCAUAUGUGACCCAGACGAGUCAUGUGAGAUCCACGCCUGAAUUACACCCAAACCAUGUGUGAGCCAUGCAGGACCCACAUGGUAGACACCCUUGAACCACAUGUGAAGAACCUGUGAAACACACAUGUUCCAUGCUUGAACCAUGCAUGAACAUCAGGGGAGCCACCCAUGAAACACAGCUGAGCCAUGCGUGAGCCACGUCCCAGGCAUGACUGAGUAUGCGGGAGCCACGUUUCAGCAACCUGUAGUUGCGUUGUAGCCACCCAUGUAUGGCAUGUGACACCUGCAUGAUCACAUUUCCCUCACACAUGGAUACU